rnacentral:ribozyme from 1 species
GGAAGUCCGGACUUCACCAAGCAAGGUGACGGAUGACUGCCAUGGAGUCCCCAUU